AUGCGUCUACUGAUGCGCCAUCUACUUCUGAUGUGUCAUCUUCCUCGUCUCAGCCUAGUUAUGGCUUACGUCCUCGUCCACUUCCGCUUGUUCAUUGCCUUGGUUUUCCAUGCGUUGGUGCUACUGUUUCUUGAGCUGACCUCUUAUCGUGAUGCUGUUGUUCAUCCCGAGUGGCAGCUUGCGAUGGAAGAGGAGAUUGCUGCUCUUGAGCACAUUGACACGUGGGAUCUUAUUUAUCUUCCUCCCGUGUUCGUCCCAACACUUGUAAGUGGGUCUACAAGGUUAAGACUUGCUCCGAUGGUUCUCUUGAGCACUACAAAGCUCGUCUUGUGCCUCGUGUCUUUCAGCAGGAGCAUGGUCAUGGUUACGAUGGAACUUUUCUCACGUGGCCCUAUGACCAUUGUUCGCACACUUGUUGUGGACUCUGUCCGCCAUUGUUUUGUAUCUCAGCUUGAUGGUAAGAACGCCUUUCUUAAUGUGAGUUGCGUGAGGAGGUUUACAUGCAUCUACCACCUGGGUAUUCUAUUUCAGAUGGCAUGGUCUGUCAUCUUCGUCGCUCUAUCUAUGGCCUUAAGAAAGCUCGUCGUGCUUGGUUUGAGUGUUUUGCCUAUGUGGUGA
rnacentral:rRNA from 1 species